AACCUACGCUGGAAGAAUGGGUUUUGAACACACCACUGUGCUGCAAUAACGUUUUAUUUGCAAUUCCAGAAUGCAAGGCAUCCAUUGUUUUUUAGAAUUGGGAAUAAGGCACAGCAAGGAUCCCACUAAAUCCACAGGGUCCCAUGAAGUACAGAAUAGAAAAUAAAAUAUGAACGACAACAAAAUGACAAAAGUCUUAUGUCCAAGAAGAUCUCCCCUGGAUUCCAUGAGUUCAUUCCGGAAGCAGGCCGAUAGGAGACUGCAAAGAAGAAACCAAAGAAGAAAAGAACAAGAGAUGAAGACCGUGGAGAGUUACAGAAGUAGUGCCACCUCUGUGAUCAUAGUGUGACUUUAAGAAACUAUAAAAGUAUUUUUAAAUUUGGCUCACGGCAGUAAUUUAGUUUUGCAACCAAUUUUCAUCGUGCCACAGAAGUACUGAGCGCUGAAGCGUCCACAGACCUCCAUUGCCAGGUGUAAGAUAAUGCGGAGUACACUUACUGACCUGAAUUUAACAUCUCUAAGCCUUCUCUUUAUCCUGAGAUAACUGACACACACCAGACAAAUAAUAAUACAAUAUUAGCUUUCUGGGAAGUUGGACGUGAGGGAGAAAGUGUACCACAAGGAUCUAAAAACAAAGGCUUGCAAUGUUGAGAUCACAACACGUGCCAGCUCUGUAAUUUCCUGAAAUUCAAGCCAAAUCAAUGAGUGCAGGACGAGCGACAAGCUUAUGGUUGAAUGAAACCUAAUGCUUCCUCCACAUUUUCAUCUUGAUAUGUCUCCAGUAACAGAAUUAUCUAGAUGCCCGGAUAUUUAAUUGUGCAAGCCAAGCAUAACAUCACACAAAGCUGCUAUUUAGCUGGGAAACAUGGUGAGUGUUUUCUCAACUUGUGAUUAGAGUCAAUAAAACAUCAAUACCCUUCGCACACUACUACCUGUUGAGUAUUGUCCAUAGGUCCAUGCCACACUGCCU